AACGAACGCUGGCGGCAGGCUUAACACAUGCAAGUCGAGCGAGACCUUCGGGUCUAGCGGCGGACGGGUGAGUAACGCGUGGGAACGUGCCCUUCUCUACGGAAUAGCCCCGGGAAACUGGGAGUAAUACCGUAUACGCCCUUUGGGGGAAAGAUUUAUCGGAGAAGGAUCGGCCCGCGUUGGAUUAGGUAGUUGGUGGGGUAAUGGCCCACCAGGCCGACGAUCCAUAGCUGGUUUGAGAGGAUGAUCAGCCACACUGGGACUGAGACACGGCCCAGACUCCUACGGGAGGCAGCGGUGGGGAAUCUUAGACAAUGGGGGCAACCCUGAUCUAGCCAUGCCGCGUGAGUGAUGAAGGCCUUAGGGUUGUAAAGCUCUUUCAGCUGGGAAGAUAAUGACGGUACCAGCAGAAGAAGCCCCGGCUAACUCCGUGCCAGCAGCCGCCGUAA
rnacentral:rRNA from 1 species